rnacentral:lncRNA from 1 species
GUUAGGGUUGGAGUUAGGGUUAGUGUUGGAGCUAGGGUUAGGGUUGGGCUUGGAGCUAGGAUUUUUCUGAGUGCAAUGAACCAACUCCCGAGUCUCUAGGACGUUCCCAAAAAAAUUGAUUUUUUCCCAUAGGAAUGCAUGGGUUAGGGUUAGGGUUAGGGUUAGGGUUGGAGCUAGGGUUAGGGUUAGGGUUAGGGUUGGAGUUAGGGUUAGUGUUGGAGCUAGGGUUAGGGUUGGGCUUGGAGCUAGGAUUUUUCUGAGUGCAAUGAACCAACUCCUGAGUCUCUAGGACGUUCCUAAAAAAAUUUGAUUUUUUCCCAUAGGAAUGCAUGGGUUAGGGUUAGGGUUAGGGUUGGAGCUAGGGUUAGGGUUAGGGUUAGGGUUGGAGUUAGGGUUAGUGUUGGAGCUAGGGUUAGGGUUGGGCUUGGAGCUAGGAUUUUUCUGAGUGCAAUGAACCAACUCCCGAGUCUCUAGGACGUUCCUAAAAAAAUUUGAUUUUUUCCCAUAGGAUUGCAUGGGUUAGGGUUAGGGUUAGGGUUAGGGUUGGAGCUAGGGUUAGGGUUAGGGUUAGGGUUGGAGUUAGGGUUAGUGUUGGAGCUAGGGUUAGGGUUGGGCUUGGAGCUAGGAUUUUUCGGAGUGCAAUGAACCAACUCCCGAGUCUCUAGGACGUUCCUAAAAAAAUUUGAUUUUUUCCCAUAGGAAUGCAUGGGUUAGGGUUAGGGUUAGGGUUGGAGCUAGGGUUAGGGUUAGGGUUAGGGUUGGAGUUGGAGCUAGGGUUAGGGUUGGGCUUGGAGCUAGGAUUUUUCUGAGUGCAAUGAACCAACUCCCGAGUCUCUAGGACGUUCCUAAAAAAAUUUGAUUUUUUCCCAUAGGAAUGCAUGGGUUAGGGUUAGGGUUAGGGUUUGAGCUAGGGUUAGGGUUAGGGUUAGGGUUGGAGUUAGGGUUAGUGUUGGAGCUAGGGUUAGGGUUGGGCUUGGAGCUAGGAUUUUUCUGAGUGCACUGAACCAACUCCCGAGUCUCUAGGACGUUCCUAAAAAAAUUUGAUUUUUUCCCAUAGGAAUGCAUGGGUUAGGGUUAGGGUUAGGGUUAGGGUUGGAGCUAGGGUUAGGGUUAGGGUUAGGGUUAGGGUUGGAGUUAGGGUUAGUGUUGGAGCUAGGGUUAGGGUUGGGCUUGGAGCUAGGAUUUUUCGGAGUGCAAUGAACCAACUCCCGAGUCUCUAGGACGUUCCUAAAAAUUUUUUAUUUUUUCCCAUAGGAAUGCAUGGGUUAGGGUUAGGGUUAGGGUUGGAGCUAGGGUUAGGGUUAGGGUUAGGGUUGGAGUUAGGGUUAGUGUUGGAGCUAGGGUUAGGGUUGGGCUUGGAGCUAGGAUUUUUCUGAGUGCAAUGAACCAACUCCGAGUCUCUAGGACAUUCCUAAAAAAAUUUGAUUUUUUUCCCAUAGGAAUGCAUGGGUUAGGGUUAGGGUUAGGGUUGGAGCUAGGGUUAGGGUUAGGGUUAGGGUUGGAGUUAGGGUUAGUGUUGGAGCUAGGGUUAGGGUUGGGCUUGGAGCUAGGAUUUUUCUGAGUGCAAUGAACCAACUCCCGAGUCUCUAGGACGUUCCUAAAAAAAUUUGAUUUUUUCCCAUAGGAAUGCAUGGGUUAGGGUUAGGGUUAGGGUUUGAGCUAGGGUUAGGGUUAGGGUUAGGGUUGGAGUUAGGGUUAGUGUUGGAGCUAGGGUUAGGGUUGGGCUUGGAGCUAGGAUUUUUCUGAGUGCACUGAACCAACUCCCGAGUCUCUAGGACGUUCCUAAAAAAAUUUGAUUUUUUCCCAUAGGAAUGCAUGGGUUAGGGUUAGGGUUAGGGUUAGGGUUGGAGCUAGGGUUAGGGUUAGGGUUAGGGUUGGAGUUAGGGUUAGUGUUGGAGCUAGGGUUAGGGUUGGGCUUGGAGCUAGGAUUUUUCGGAGUGCAAUGAACCAACUCCCGAGUCUCUAGGACGUUCCUAAAAAAUUUUUAUUUUUUCCCAUAGGAAUGCAUGGGUUAGGGUUAGGGUUAGGAUUGGAGCUAGGGUUAGGGUUAGGGUUAGGGUUGGAGUUGGAGCUAGGGUUAGGGUUGGGCUUGGAGCUAGGAUUUUUCUGAGUGCAAUGAACCAACUCCCGAGUCUCUAGGACGUUCCCAAAAAAAUUUGAUUUUUUCCCAUAGGAAUGCAUGGGUUAGGGUUAGGGUUAGGGUUGGAGCUAGGGUUAGGGUUAGGGUUAGGGUUGGAGUUAGGGUUAGUGUUGGAGCUAGGGUUAGGGUUGGGCUUGGAGCUAGGAUUUUUCUGAGUGCAAUGAACCAACUCCCGAGUCUCUAGGACGUUCCUAAAAAAAUUUGAUUUUUUCCCAUAGGAAUGCAUGGGUUAGGGUUAGGGUUAGGGUUUGAGCUAGGGUUAGGGUUAGGGUUAGGGUUGGCGUUAGGGUUAGUGUUGGAGCUAGGGUUAGGGUUGGGCUUGGAGCUAGGAUUUUUCUGAGUGCACUGAACCAACUCCCGAGUCUCUAGGACGUUCCUAAAAAAAUUUGAUUUUUUCCCAUAGGAAUGCAUGGGUUAGGGUUAGGGUUAGGGUUGGAGCUAGGGUUAGGGUUAGGGUUAGGGUUGGAGUUAGGGUUAGUGUUGGAGCUAGGGUUAGGGUUGGGCUUGGAGCUAGGAUUUUUCUGAGUGCACUGAACCAACUCCCGAGUCUCUAGGACGUUCCUAAAAAAAUUUGAUUUUUCCCAUAGGAAUGCAUGGGUUAGGGUUAGGGUUAGGGUUAGGGUUGGAGCUAGGGUUAGGGUUAGGGUUAGGGUUGGAGUUAGGGUUAGUGUUGGAGCUAGGGUUAGGGUUGGGCUUGGAGCUAGGAUUUUUCUGAGUGCACUGAACCAACUCCCAAGUCUCUAGGACGUUCCUAAAAAAAUUUGAUUUUUUCCCAUAGGAAUGCAUGGGUUAGGGUUAGGGUUAGGGUUAGGGUUGGAGCUAGGGUUAGGGUUGGAGUUAGGGUUAGUGUUGGAGCUAGGGUUAGGGUUGGGCUUGGAGCUAGGAUUUUUCUGAGUGCAAUGAACCAACUCCCGAGUCUCUAUGACGUUCCUAAAAAAAUUGAUUUUUUCCCAUAGGAAUGCAUGGGUUAGGGUUAGGGUUAGGGUUGGAGCUAGGGUUAGGGUUAGGGUUAGGGUUAGUGUUGGAGCUAGGGUUAGGGUUGGGCUUGGAGCUAGGAUUUUUCUGAGUGCAAUGAACCAACUCCCGAGUCUCUAGGACGUUCCUAAAAAAAUUUGAUUUUUUCCCAUAGGAAUGCAUGGGUUAGGGUUAGGGUUAGGGUUGGAGCUAGGGUUAGGGUUAGGGUUAGGGUUUGAGUUAGGGUUAGUGUUGGAGCUAGGGUUAGGGUUGGGCUUGGAGCUAGGAUUUUUCUGAGUGCAAUGAACCAACUCCCGAGUCUCUAGGACGUUCCUAAAAAAAUUUGAUUUUUUCCCAUAGGAAUGCAUGGGUUAGGGUUAAGGGUUAGGGUUUGGAGCUAGGGUUAGGGUUGGAGUUAGGGUUAGUGUUGGAGCUAGGGUUAGGGUUGGGCUUGGAGCUAAGAUUUUUCUGAGUGCACUGAACCAACUCCCGAGUCUCUAGGACGUUCCUAAAAAAAUUUGAUUUUUUCCCAUAGGAAUGCAUGGGUUAGGGUUAGGGUUAGGGUUGGAGCUAGGGUUAGGGUUAGGGUUAGGGUUGGAGUUAGGGUUAGUGUUGGAGCUAGGGUUAGGGUUGGGCUUGGAGCUAGGAUUGUUCUGAGUCCACUGAACAAACUCCCGAGUCUCUAGGACGUUCCUAAAAAAAUUUGAUUUUUCCCAUAGGAAUGCAUGGGUUAGGGUUAGGGUUAGGGUUAGGGUUGGAGCUAGGGUUAGGGUUAGGGUUAGGGUUGGAGUUAGGGUUAGUGUUGGAGCUAGGGUUAGGGUUGGGCUUGGAGCUAGGAUUUUUCUGAGUGCACUGAACCAACUCCCAAGUCUCUAGGACGUUCCUAAAAAAAUUUGAUUUUUUCCCAUAGGAAUGCAUGGGUUAGGGUUAGGGUUAGGGUUAGGGUUGGAGCUAGGGUUAGGGUUGGAGUUAGGGUUAGUGUUGGAGCUGGGGUUAGGGUUGAGCUUGGAGCUAGGAUUUUUCUGAGUGCAAUGAACCAACUCCCGAGUCUCUAGGACGUUCCUAAAAAAUUUGAUUUUUUCCCAUAGGAAUGCAUGGGUUAGGGUUAGGGUUGGAGCUAGGGUUAGGGUUAGGGUUAGGGUUGGAGUUAGGGUUAGUGUUGGAGCUAGGGUUAGGGUUGGGCUUGGAGCUAGGAUUUUUCUGAGUGCAAUGAACCAACUCCCGAGUCUCUAGGACGUUCCUAAAAAAAUUUGAUUUUUUCCCAUAGGAAUGCAUGGGUUAGGGUUAGGGUUAGGGUUAGGGUUGGAGCUAGGGUUAGGGUUAGGGUUAGGGUUGGAGUUAGGGUUAGUGUUGGAGCUAGGGUUAGGGUUGGGCUUGGAGCUAGGAUUUUUCUGAGUGCACUGAACCAACUCCCGAGUCUCUAGGACGUUCCUAAAAAAAUUUGAUUUUUUCCCAUAGGAAUGCAUGGGUUAGGGUUAGGGUUAGGGUUGGAGCUAGGGUUAGGGUUAGGGUUAGGGUUGGAGUUAGGGUUAGUGUUGGAGCUAGGGUUAGGGUUGGGCUUGGAGCUAGGAUUUUUCUGAGUGCAAUGAACCAACUCCCGAGUCUCUAGGACGUUCCUAAAAAAAUUUGAUUUUUUCCCAUAGUAAUGCAUGGGUUAGGGUUAGGGUUAGGGUUGGAGCUAGGGUUAGGGUUAGGGUUAGGGUUGGAGUUAGGGUUAGUGUUGGAGCUAGGGUUAGGGUUGGGCUUGGAGCUAGGAUUUUUCUGAGUGCACUGAACCAACUCCCGAGUCUCUAGGACGUUCCUAAAAAAAUUUGAUUUUUUCCCAUAGGAAUGCAUGGGUUAGGGUUAGGGUUAGGGUUGGAGCUAGGGUUAGGGUUAGGGUUAGGGUUAGGGUUGGAGUUAGGGUUAGUGUUGGAGCUAGGGUUAGGGUUGGGCUUGGAGCUAGGAUUUUUCUGAGUGCACUGAACCAACUCCCGAGUCUCUAGGACGUUCCUAAAAAAAUUUGAUUUUUUCCCAUAGGAAUGCAUGGGUUAGGGUUAGGGUUAGGGUUGGAGCUAGGGUUAGGGUUAGGGUUAGGGUUGGAGUUAGGGUUAGUGUUGGAGCUAGGGUUAGGGUUGGGCUUGGAGCUAGGAUUUUUCUGAGUGCACUGAACCAACUCCCGAGUCUCUAGGACGUUCCUAAAAAAAUUUGAUUUUUUCCCAUAGGAAUGCAUGGGUUAGGGUUAGGGUUAGGGUUGGAGCUAGGGUUAGGGUUAGGGUUAGGGUUGGAGUUAGGGUUAGUGUUGGAGCUAGGGUUAGGGUUGGGCUUGGAGCUAGGAUUUUUCUGAGUGCAAUGAACCAACUCCCGAGUCUCUAGGACGUUCCUAAAAAAAUUAGAUUUUUUCCCAUAGGAAUGCAUGGGUUAGGGUUAGGGUUAGGGUUAGGGUUGGAGCUAGGGUUAGGGUUAGGGUUAGGGUUGGAGUUAGGGUUAGUGUUGGAGCUAGGAUUAGGGUUGGGCUUGGAGCUAGGAUUUUUCUGAGUGCAAUGAACCAACUCCCGAGUCUCUAGGACGUUCCUAAAAAUUUUUUAUUUUUUCCCAUAGGAAUGCAUGGGUUAGGGUUAGGGUUAGGGUUAGGGUUGGAGCUAGGGUUAGGGUUAGGGUUAGGGUUGGAGUUAGGGUUAGUGUUGGAGCUAGGGUUAGGGUUGGGGUUAGGGUUGGAGUUAGGGUUAGUGUUGGAGCUAGGGUUAGGGUUGGGCUUGGAGCUAGGAUUUUUCUGAGUGCACUGAACCAACUCCCGAGUCUCUAGGACGUUCCUAAAAAAAUUUGAUUUUUUCCCAUAGGAAUGCAUGGGUUAGGGUUAGGGUUAGGGUUAGGGUUGGAGCUAGGGUUAGGGUUAGGGUUAGGGUUGGAGUUAGGGUUAGUGUUGGAGCUAGGGUUAGGGUUGGGCUUGGAGCUAGGAUUUUUCUGAGUGCAAUGAACCAACUCCCGAGUCUCUAGGACGUUCCUAAAAAAAUUGAUUUUUUCCCAUAGUAAUGCAUGGGUUAGGGUUAGGGUUAGGGUUGGAGCUAGGGUUAGGGUUAGGGUUAGGGUUGGAGUUAGGGUUAGUGUUGGAGCUAGGGUUAGGGUUGGGCUUGGAGCUAGGAUUUUUCUGAGUGCAAUGAACCAACUCCCGAGUCUCUAGGACGUUCCUAAAAAAAUUUGAUUUUUUCCCAUAGGAAUGCAUGGGUUAGGGUUAGGGUUAGGGUUGGAGCUAGGGUUAGGGUUAGGGUUGGAAUUAGGGUUAGUGUUGGAGCUAGGGUUAGGGUUGGGCUUGGAGCUAGGAUUUUUCUGAGUGCAAUGAACCAACUCCCGAGUCUCUAGGACGUUCCUAAAAAAAUUUGAUUUUUUCCCAUAGGAAUGCAUGGGUUAGGGUUAGGGUUAGGGUUGGAGCUAGGGUUAGGGUUAGGGUUAGGGUUGGAGUUAGGGUUAGUGUUGGAGCUAGGGUUAGGGUUGGGCUUGGAGCUAGGAUUUUUCUGAGUGCACUGAACCAACUCCCGAGUCUCUAGGACGUUCCUAAAAAAAUUUGAUUUUUUCCCAUAGGAAUGCAUGGGUUAGGGUUAGGGUUAGGGUUAGGGUUGGAGUUAGGGUUAGUGUUGGAGCUAGGGUUAGGGUUGGGCUUGGAGCUAGGAUUUUUCUGAGUGCAAUGAACCAACUCCCGAGUCUCUAGGACGUUCCUAAAAAAAUUUGAUUUUUUCCCAUAGUAAUGCAUGGGUUAGGGUUAGGGUUAGGGUUGGAGCUAGGGUUAGGGUUAGGGUUAGGGUUGGAGUUAGGGUUAGUGUUGGAGCUAGGGUUAGGGUUGGUCCUGGAGCUAGGAUUUUUCUGAGUGCAAUGAACCAACUCCCGAGUCUCUAGGACGUUCCUAAAAAAAUUUGAUUUUUUCCCAUAGUAAUGCAUGGGUUAGGGUUAGGGUUAGGGUUGUAGCUAGGGUUAGGGUUAGGGUUAGGGUUGGAGUUAGGGUUAGUGUUGGAGCUAGGGUGAGGGUUGGGCUUGGAGCUAGGAUUUUUCUGAGUGCACUGAACCAACUCCCGAGUCUCUAGGACGUUCCUAAAAAAAUUUGAUUUUUUCCCAUAGGAAUGCAUGGGUUAGGGUUAGGGUUAGGGUUGGAGCUAGGGUUAGGGUUAGGGUUAGGGUUGGAGUUAGGGUUAGUGUUGGAGCUAGGGUUAGGGUUGGGCUUGGAGCUAGGAUUUUUCUGAGUGCACUGAACCAACUCCCGAGUCUCUAGGACGUUCCUAAAAAAAUUUUGAUUUUUUCCCAUAGGAAUGCAUGGGUUAGGGUUAGGGUUAGGGUUAGGGUUGGAGCUAGGGUUAGGGUUAGGGUUAGGGUUGGAGUUAGGGUUAGUGUUGGAGCUAGGGUUAGGGUUGGGCUUGGAGCUAGGAUUUUUCUGAGUGCAAUGAACCAACUCCCGAGUCUCUAGGACGUUCCUAAAAAAAUUUGAUUUUUUCCCAUAGGAAUGCAUGGGUUAGGGUUAGGGUUAGGGUUAGGGUUGGAGCUAGGGUUAGGGUUAGGGUUAGGGUUGGAGUUAGGGUUAGUGUUGGAGCUAGGGUUAGGGUUGGGGUUAGGGUUGGAGUUAGGGUUAGUGUUGGAGCUAGGGUUAGGGUUGGGCUUGGAGCUAGGAUUUUUCUGAGUGCACUGAACCAACUCCCGAGUCUCUAGGACGUUCCUAAAAAAUUUGAUUUUUUCCCAUAGGAAUGCAUGGGUUAGGGUUAGGGUUAGGGUUAGGGUUGGAGCUAGGGUUAGGGUUAGGGUUAGGGUUGGAGUUAGGGUUAGUGUUGGAGCUAGGGUUAGGGUUGGGCUUGGAGCUAGGAUUUUUCUGAGUGCAAUGAACCAACUCCCGAGUCUCUAGGACGUUCCUAAAAAAAUUUGAUUUUUUCCCAUAGUAAUGCAUGGGUUAGGGUUAGGGUUAGGGUUGGAGCUAGGGUUAGGGUUAGGGUUAGGGUUGGAGUUAGGGUUAGUGUUGGAGCUAGGGUUAGGGUUGGGCUUGGAGCUAGGAUUUUUCUGAGUGCACUGAACCAACUCCCAAGUCUCUAGGACGUUCCUAAAAAAAUUUGAUUUUUUCCCAUAGGAAUGCAUGGGUUAGGGUUAGGGUUAGGGUUAGGGUUGGAGCUAGGGUUAGGGUUGGAGUUAGGGUUAGUGUUGGAGCUGGGGUUAGGGUUGAGCUUGGAGCUAGGAUUUUUCUGAGUGCAAUGAACCAACUCCCGAGUCUCUAGGACGUUCCUAAAAAAAUUUGAUUUUUUCCCAUAGGAAUGCAUGGGUUAGGGUUAGGGUUGGAGCUAGGGUUAGGGUUAGGGUUAGGGUUGGAGUUAGGGUUAGUGUUGGAGCUAGGGUUAGGGUUGGGCUUGGAGCUAGGAUUUUUCUGAGUGCAAUGAACCAACUCCCGAGUCUCUAGGACGUUCCUAAAAAAAUUUGAUUUUUUCCCAUAGGAAUGCAUGGGUUAGGGUUAGGGUUAGGGUUAGGGUUGGAGCUAGGGUUAGGGUUAGGGUUAGGGUUGGAGUUAGGGUUAGUGUUGGAGCUAGGGUUAGGGUUGGGCUUGGAGCUAGGAUUUUUCUGAGUGCACUGAACCAACUCCCGAGUCUCUAGGACGUUCCUAAAAAAAUUUGAUUUUUUCCCAUAGGAAUGCAUGGGUUAGGGUUAGGGUUAGGGUUGGAGCUAGGGUUAGGGUUAGGGUUAGGGUUGGAGUUAGGGUUAGUGUUGGAGCUAGGGUUAGGGUUGGGCUUGGAGCUAGGAUUUUUCUGAGUGCAAUGAACCAACUCCCGAGUCUCUAGGACGUUCCUAAAAAAAUUUGAUUUUUUCCCAUAGUAAUGCAUGGGUUAGGGUUAGGGUUAGGGUUGGAGCUAGGGUUAGGGUUAGGGUUAGGGUUGGAGUUAGGGUUAGUGUUGGAGCUAGGGUUAGGGUUGGGCUUGGAGCUAGGAUUUUUCUGAGUGCACUGAACCAACUCCCGAGUCUCUAGGACGUUCCUAAAAAAAUUUGAUUUUUUCCCAUAGGAAUGCAUGGGUUAGGGUUAGGGUUAGGGUUGGAGCUAGGGUUAGGGUUAGGGUUAGGGUUAGGGUUGGAGUUAGGGUUAGUGUUGGAGCUAGGGUUAGGGUUGGGCUUGGAGCUAGGAUUUUUCUGAGUGCACUGAACCAACUCCCGAGUCUCUAGGACGUUCCUAAAAAAAUUUGAUUUUUUCCCAUAGGAAUGCAUGGGUUAGGGUUAGGGUUAGGGUUGGAGCUAGGGUUAGGGUUAGGGUUAGGGUUGGAGUUAGGGUUAGUGUUGGAGCUAGGGUUAGGGUUGGGCUUGGAGCUAGGAUUUUUCUGAGUGCAAUGAACCAACUCCCGAGUCUCUAGGACGUUCCUAAAAAAAUUUGAUUUUUUCCCAUAGGAAUGCAUGGGUUAGGGUUAGGGUUAGGGUUGGAGCUAGGGUUAGGGUUAGGGUUAGGGUUGGAGUUAGGGUUAGUGUUGGAGCUAGGGUUAGGGUUGGGCUUGGAGCUAGGAUUUUUCUGAGUGCAAUGAACCAACUCCCGAGUCUCUAGGACGUUCCUAAAAAAAUUUGAUUUUUUCCCAUAGGAAUGCAUGGGUUAGGGUUAGGGUUAGGGUUAGGGUUAGGGUUAGGGUUAGGGUUAGGGUUAGGGUUGGAGUUAGGGUUAGUGUUGGAGCUAGGGUUAGGGUUGGGCUUGGAGCUAGGAUUUUUCUGAGUGCAAUGAACCAACUCCCGAGUCUCUAGGACGUUCCUAAAAAUUUUUUAUUUUUUCCCAUAGGAAUGCAUGGGUUAGGGUUAGGGUUAGGGUUAGGGUUGGAGCUAGGGUUAGGGUUAGGGUUAGGGUUGGAGUUAGGGUUAGUGUUGGAGCUAGGGUUAGGGUUGGGGUUAGGGUUGGAGUUAGGGUUAGUGUUGGAGCUAGGGUUAGGGUUGGGCUUGGAGCUAGGAUUUUUCUGAGUGCACUGAACCAACUCCCGAGUCUCUAGGACGUUCCUAAAAAAAUUUGAUUUUUUCCCAUAGGAAUGCAUGGGUUAGGGUUAGGGUUAGGGUUAGGGUUGGAGCUAGGGUUAGGGUUAGGGUUAGGGUUGGAGUUAGGGUUAGUGUUGGAGCUAGGGUUAGGGUUGGGCUUGGAGCUAGGAUUUUUCUGAGUGCAAUGAACCAACUCCCGAGUCUCUAGGACGUUCCUAAAAAAAUUUGAUUUUUUCCCAUAGGAAUGCAUGGGUUAGGGUUAGGGUUAGGGUUGGAGCUAGGGUUAGGGUUAGGGUUAGGGUUGGAGUUAGGGUUAGUGUUGGAGCUAGGGUUAGGGUUGGGCUUGGAGCUAGGAUUUUUCUGAGUGCAAUGAACCAACUCCCGAGUCUCUAGGACGUUCCUAAAAAAAUUUGAUUUUUUCCCAUAGGAAUGCAUGGGUUAGGGUUAGGGUUAGGGUUGGAGCUAGGGUUAGGGUUAGGGUUGGAAUUAGGGUUAGUGUUGGAGCUAGGGUUAGGGUUGGGCUUGGAGCUAGGAUUUUUCUGAGUGCAAUGAACCAACUCCCGAGUCUCUAGGACGUUCCUAAAAAAAUUUGAUUUUUUUCCCAUAGGAAUGCAUGGGUUAGGGUUAGGGUUAGGGUUGGAGCUAGGGUUAGGGUUAGGGUUAGGGUUGGAGUUAGGGUUAGUGUUGGAGCUAGGGUUAGGGUUGGGCUUGGAGCUAGGAUUUUUCUGAGUGCACUGAACCAACUCCCGAGUCUCUAGGACGUUCCUAAAAAAAUUUGAUUUUUUCCCAUAGGAAUGCAUGGGUUAGGGUUAGGGUUAGGGUUAGGGUUGGAGUUAGGGUUAGUGUUGGAGCUAGGGUUAGGGUUGGGCUUGGAGCUAGGAUUUUUCUGAGUGCAAUGAACCAACUCCCGAGUCUCUAGGACGUUCCUAAAAAAAUUUGAUUUUUUCCCAUAGUAAUGCAUGGGUUAGGGUUAGGGUUAGGGUUGGAGCUAGGGUUAGGGUUAGGGUUAGGGUUGGAGUUAGGGUUAGUGUUGGAGCUAGGGUUAGGGUUGGGCUUGGAGCUAGGAUUUUUCUGAGUGCAAUGAACCAACUCCCGAGUCUCUAGGACGUUCCUAAAAAAAUUUGAUUUUUUCCCAUAGGAAUGCAUGGGUUAGGGUUAGGGUUAGGGUUGGAGCUAGGGUUAGGGUUAGGGUUAGGGUUGGAGUUAGGGUUAGUGUUGGAGCUAGGGUUAGGGUUGGGCUUGGAGCUAGGAUUUUUCUGAGUGCACUGAACCAACUCCCGAGUCUCUAGGACGUUCCUAAAAAAUUUGAUUUUUUUCCCAUAGGAAUGCAUGGGUUAGGGUUAGGGUUAGGGUUGGAGCUAGGGUUAGGGUUAGGGUUAGGGUUGGAGUUAGGGUUAGUGUUGGAGCUAGGGUUAGGGUUGGGCUUGGAGCUAGGAUUUUUCUGAGUGCACUGAACCAACUCCCGAGUCUCUAGGACGUUCCUAAAAAAAUUUUGAUUUUUUCCCAUAGGAAUGCAUGGGUUAGGGUUAGGGUUAGGGUUAGGGUUGGAGCUAGGGUUAGGGUUAGGGUUAGGGUUGGAGUUAGGGUUAGUGUUGGAGCUAGGGUUAGGGUUGGGCUUGGAGCUAGGAUUUUUCUGAGUGCAAUGAACCAACUCCCGAGUCUCUAGGACGUUCCUAAAAAAAUUUGAUUUUUUCCCAUAGGAAUGCAUGGGUUAGGGUUAGGGUUAGGGUUAGGGUUGGAGCUAGGGUUAGGGUUAGGGUUAGGGUUGGAGUUAGGGUUAGUGUUGGAGCUAGGGUUAGGGUUGGGGUUAGGGUUGGAGUUAGGGUUAGUGUUGGAGCUAGGGUUAGGGUUGGGCUUGGAGCUAGGAUUUUUCUGAGUGCACUGAACCAACUCCCGAGUCUCUAGGACGUUCCUAAAAAAAUUUGAUUUUUUCCCAUAGGAAUGCAUGGGUUAGGGUUAGGGUUAGGGUUAGGGUUGGAGCUAGGGUUAGGGUUAGGGUUAGGGUUGGAGUUAGGGUUAGUGUUGGAGCUAGGGUUAGGGUUGGGCUUGGAGCUAGGAUUUUUCUGAGUGCAAUGAACCAACUCCCGAGUCUCUAGGACGUUCCUAAAAAAAUUUGAUUUUUUCCCAUAGUAAUGCAUGGGUUAGGGUUAGGGUUAGGGUUGGAGCUAGGGUUAGGGUUAGGGUUAGGGUUGGAGUUAGGGUUAGUGUUGGAGCUAGGGUUAGGGUUGGGCUUGGAGCUAGGAUUUUUCUGAGUGCAAUGAACCAACUCCCGAGUCUCUAGGACGUUCCUAAAAAAAUUUGAUUUUUUCCCAUAGUAAUGCAUGGGUUAGGGUUAGGGUUAGGGUUGGAGCUAGGGUUAGGGUUAGGGUUAGGGUUGGAGUUAGGGUUAGUGUUGGAGCUAGGGUUAGGGUUGGGCUUGGAGCUAGGAUUUUUCUGAGUGCACUGAACCAACUCCCGAGUCUCUAGGACGUUCCUAAAAAAAUUUGAUUUUUUCCCAUUGGAAUGCAUGGGUUAGGGUUAGGGUUAGGGUUGGAGCUAGGGUUAGGGUUAGGGUUAGGGUUGGAGUUAGGGUUAGUGUUGGAGCUAGGGUUAGGGUUGGGCUUGGAGCUAGGAUUUUUCUGAGUGCACUGAACCAACUCCCGAGUCUCUAGGACGUUCCUAAAAAAAUUUGAUUUUUUCCCAUAGGAUUGCAUGGGUUAGGGUUAGGGUUAGGGUUAGGGUUGGAGCUAGGGUUAGGGUUAGGGUUAGGGUUGGAGUUAGGGUUAGUGUUGGAGCUAGGGUUAGGGUUGGGCUUGGAGCUAGGAUUUUUCUGAGUGCAAUGAACCAACUCCCGAGUCUCUAGGACGUUCCUAAAAAAAUUUGAUUUUUUCCCAUAGGAAUGCAUGGGUUAGGGUUAGGGUUAGGGUUGGAGCUAGGGUUAGGGUUAGGGUUGGAGUUAGGGUUAGUGUUGGAGCUAGGGUUAGGGUUGGGCUUGGAGCUAGGAUUUUUCUGAGUGCAAUGAACCAACUCCCGAGUCUCUAGGACGUUCCUAAAAAAAUUUGAUUUUUUCCCAUAGUAAUGCAUGGGUUAGGGUUAGGGUUAGGGUUGGAGCUAGGGUUAGGGUUAGGGUUAGGGUUGGAGUUAGGGUUAGUGUUGGAGCUAGGGUUAGGGUUGGGCUUGGAGCUAGGAUUUUUCUGAGUGCAAUGAACCAACUCCCAAGUCUCUAGGACGUUCCUAAAAAAAUUUGAUUUUUUCCCAUAGGAAUGCAUGGGUUAGGGUUAGGGUCAGGGUUAGGGUUGGAGCAAGGGUUAGGGUUAGGGUUAGGGUUGGAGUUAGGGUUAGUGUUGGAGCUAGGGUUAGGGUUGGGCUUGGAGCUAGGAUUUUUCUGAGUGCACUGAACCAACUCCCGAGUCUAUAGGACGUUCCUAAAAAAUUUGAUUUUUUCCCAUAGGAAUGCAUGGGUUAGGGUUAGGGUUAGGGUUGGAGCUAGGGUUAGGGUUAGGGUUAGGGUUGGAGUUAGGGUUAGUGUUGGAGCUAGGGUUAGGGUUGGGCUUGGAGCUAGGAUUUUUCUGAGUGCAAUGAACCAACUCCCGAGUCUCUAGGACAUUCCUAAAAAAAUUUGAUUUUUUCCCAUAGGAAUGCAUGGGUUAGGGUUAGGGUUAGGGUUGGAGCUAGGGUUAGGGUUAGGGUUAGGGUUGGAGUUAGGGUUAGUGUUGGAGCUAGGGUUAGGGUUGGGCUUGGAGCUAGGAUUUUUCGGAGUGCAAUGAACCAACUCCCGAGUCUCUAGGACGUUCCUAAAUAAUUUUUAUUUUUUCCCAUAGGAAUGCAUGGGUUAGGGUUAGGGUUAGGGUUGGAGCUAGGGUUAGGGUUAGGGUUAGGGUUGGAGUUAGGGUUAGUGUUGGAGCUAGGGUUAGGGUUGGGCUUGGAGCUAGGAUUUUUCUGAGUGCAAUGAACCAACUCCCGAGUCUCUAGGACGUUCCUAAAAAAAUUAGAUUUUUUCCCAUAGGAAUGCAUGGGUUAGGGUUAGGGUUAGGGUUGGAGCUAGGGUUAGGGUUAGGGUUAGGGUUGGAGUUAGGGUUAGUGUUGGAGCUAGGGUUAGGGUUGGGCUUGGAGCUAGGAUUUUUCUGAGUGCAAUGAACCAACUCCCGAGUCUCUAGGACGUUCCUAAAAAAAUUUGAUUUUUUCCCAUAGGAAUGCAUGGGUUAGGGUUAGGGUUAGGGUUGGAGCUAGGGUUAGGGUUAGGGUUAGGGUUGGAGUUAGGGUUAGUGUUGGAGCUAGGGUUAGGGUUGGGCUUGGAGCUAGGAUUUUUCUGAGUGCACUGAACCAACUCCCGAGUCUCUAGGACGUUCCUAAAAAAAUUUGAUUUUUUCCCAUAGGAAUGCAUGGGUUAGGGUUAGGGUUAGGGUUGGAGCUAGGGUUAGGGUUAGGGUUAGGGUUGGAGUUAGGGUUAGUGUUGGAGCUAGGGUUAGGGUUGGGCUUGGAGCUAGGAUUUUUCUGAGUGCACUGAACCAACUCCCGAGUCUCUAGGACGUUCCUAAAAAAAUUUGAUUUUUUCCCAUAGGAAUGCAUGGGUUAGGGUUAGGGUCAGGGUUAGGGUUGGAGCUAGGGUUAGGGUUAGGGUUAGGGUUGGAGUUAGGGUUAGUGUUGGAGCUAGGGUUAGGGUUGGGCUUGGAGCUAGGAUUUUUCUGAGUGCAAUGAACCAACUCCCGAGUCUCUAGGACGUUCCUAAAAAAAUUUGAUUUUUUCCCAUAGGAAUGCAUGGGUUAGGGUUAGGGUUAGGGUUAGGGUUGGAGCUAGGGUUAGGGUUAGGGUUAGGGUUGGAGUUAGGGUUAGUGUUGGAGNNNNNNNNNNNNNNNNNNNNNNNNNNNNNNNNNNNNNNNNNNNNNNNNNNNNNNNNNNNNNNNNNNNNNNNNNNNNNNNNNNNNNNNNNNNNNNNNNNNNNNNNNNNNNNNNNNNNNNNNNNNNNNNNNNNNNNNNNNNNNNNNNNNNNNNNNNNNNNNNNNNNNNNNNNNNNNNNNNNNNNNNNNNNNNNNNNNNNNNNGAACCAACUCCCAAGUCUCUAGGACGUUCCUAAAAAAAUUUGAUUUUUCCCAUAGGAAUGCAUGGGUUAGGGUUAGGGUCAGGGUUAGGGUUGGAGCUAGGGUUAGGGUUAGGGUUAGGGUUGGAGUUAGGGUUAGUGUUGGAGCUAGGGUUAGGGUUGGGCUUGGAGCUAGGAUUUUUCUGAGUGCAAUGAACCAACUCCCGAGUCUCUAGGACGUUCCUAAAAAAAUUUGAUUUUUUCCCAUAGGAAUGCAUGGGUUAGGGUUAGGGUUAGGGUUAGGGUUGGAGCUAGGGUUAGGGUUAGGGUUAGGGUUGGAGUUAGGGUUAGUGUUGGAGCUAGGGUUAGGGUUGGGCUUGGAGCUAGGAUUUUUCUGAGUGCAAUGAACCAACUCCCGAGUCUCUAGGACGUUCCUAAAAAAUUUUUAUUUUUUCCCAUAGGAAUGCAUGGGUUAGGGUUAGGGUUAGGAUUGGAGCUAGGGUUAGGGUAAGGGUUAGGGUUAGUGUUGGAGCUAGGGUUAGGGUUGGGCUUGGAGCUAGGAUUUUUCUGAGUGCAAUGAACCAACUCCCGAGUCUCUAGGACGUUCCCAAAAAAAUUUGAUUUUUUCCCAUAGGAAUGCAUGGGUUAGGGUUAGGGUUAGGGAUGGAGCUAGGGUUAGGGUUAGGGUUAGGGUUGGAGUUAGGGUUAGUGUUGGAGCUAGGGUUAGGGUUGGGCUUGGAGCUAGGAUUGUUCUGAGUCCACUGAACCAACUCCCGAGUCUCUAGGACGUUCCUAAAAAAAUUUGAUUUUUCCCAUAGGAAUGCAUGGGUUAUGGUUAGGGUUAGGGUUAGGGUUGGAGCUAGGGUUAGGGUUAGGGUUAGGGUUGGAGUUAGGGUUAGUGUUGGAGCUAGGGUUAGGGUUGGGCUUGGAGCUAGGAUUUUUCUGAGUGCACUGAACCAACUCCCAAGUCUCUAGGACGUUCCUAAAAAAAUUUGAUUUUUUCCCAUAGGAAUGCAAGGGUUAGGGUUAGGGUCAGGGUUAGGGUUGGAGCUAGGGUUAGGGUUAGGGUUAGGGUUGGAGUUAGGGUUAGUGUUGGAGCUAGGGUUAGGGUUGGGCUUGGAGCUAGGAUUUUUCUGAGUGCAAUGAACCAACUCCCGAGUCUCUAGGACGUUCCUAAAAAAAUUUGAUUUUUUCCCAUAGGAAUGCAUGGGUUAGGGUUAGGGUUAGGGUUAGGGUUGGAGCUAGGGUUAGGGUUAGGGUUAGGGUUGGAGUUAGGGUUAGUGUUGGAGCUAGGGUUAGGGUUGGGCUUGGAGCUAGGAUUUUUCGGAGUGCAAUGAACCAACUCCCGAGUCUCUAGGACGUUCCCAAAAAAAUUUGAUUUUUUCCCAUAGGAAUGCAUGGGUUAGGGUUAGGGUUAGGGAUGGAGCUAGGGUUAGGGUUAGGGUUAGGGUUGGAGUUAGGGUUAGUGUUGGAGCUAGGGUUAGGGUUGGGCUUGGAGCUAGGAUUGUUCUGAGUCCACUGAACCAACUCCCGAGUCUCUAGGACGUUCCUAAAAAAAUUUGAUUUUUCCCAUAGGAAUGCAUGGGUUAGGGUUAGGGUUAGGGUUAGGGUUGGAGCUAGGGUUAGGGUUAGGGUUAGGGUUGGAGUUAGGGUUAGUGUUGGAGCUAGGGUUAGGGUUGGGCUUGGAGCUAGGAUUUUUCUGAGUGCACUGAACCAACUCCCAAGUCUCUAGGACGUUCCUAAAAAAAUUUGAUUUUUUCCCAUAGGAAUGCAUGGGUUAGGGUUAGGGUCAGGGUUAGGGUUGGAGCUAGGGUUAGGGUUAGGGUUAGGGUUGGAGUUAGGGUUAGUGUUGGAGCUAGGGUUAGGGUUGGGCUUGGAGCUAGGAUUUUUCUGAGUGCAAUGAACCAACUCCCGAGUCUCUAGGACGUUCCUAAAAAAAUUUGAUUUUUUCCCAUAGGAAUGCAUGGGUUAGGGUUAGGGUUAGGGUUAGGGUUGGAGCUAGGGUUAGGGUUAGGGUUAGGGUUGGAGUUAGGGUUAGUGUUGGAGCUAGGGUUAGGGUUGGGCUUGGAGCUAGGAUUUUUCUGAGUGCAAUGAACCAACUCCCGAGUCUCUAGGACGUUCCUAAAAAAUUUUUAUUUUUUCCCAUAGGAAUGCAUGGGUUAGGGUUAGGGUUAGGGUUGGAGCUAGGGUUAGGGUUAGGGUUGGGUUAGGGUUAGUGUUGGAGCUAGGGUUAGGGUUGGGCUUGGAGCUAGGAUUUUUCUGAGUGCAAUGAACCAACUCCCGAGUCUCUAGGACGUUCCCAAAAAAAUUUGAUUUUUUCCCAUAGGAAUGCAUGGGUUAGGGUUAGGGUUAGGGUUGGAGCUAGGGUUAGGGUUAGGGUUAGGGUUGGAGUUAGGGUUAGUGUUGGAGCUAGGGUUAGGGUUGGGCUUGGAGCUAGGAUUUUUCUGAGUGCAAUGAACCAACUCCCGAGUCUCUAGGACGUUCCUAAAAAAAUUUGAUUUUUUCCCAUAGGAAUGCAUGGGUUAGGGUUAGGGUUAGGGUUUGAGCUAGGGUUAGGGUUAGGGUUAGGGUUGGAGUUAGGGUUAGUGUUGGAGCUAGGGUUAGGGUUGGGCUUGGAGCUAGGAUUUUUCUGAGUGCACUGAACCAACUCCCGAGUCUCUAGGACGUUCCUAAAAAAAUUUGAUUUUUUCCCAUAGGAAUGCAUGGGUUAGGGUUAGGGUUAGGGUUGGAGCUAGGGUUAGGGUUAGGGUUAGGGUUGGAGUUAGGGUUAGUGUUGGAGCUAGGGUUAGGGUUGGGCUUGGAGCUAGGAUUUUUCUGAGUCCACUGAACCAACUCCCGAGUCUCUAGGACGUUCCUAAAAAAAUUUGAUUUUUUCCCAUAGGAAUGCAUGGGUUAGGGUUAGGGUUAGGGUUAGGGUUGGAGCUAGGGUUAGGGUUAGGGUUAGGGUUGGAGUUAGGGUUAGUGUUGGAGCUAGGGUUAGGGUUGGGCUUGGAGCUAGGAUUUUUCUGAGUGCACUGAACCAACUCCCAAGUCUCUAGGACGUUCCUAAAAAAAUUUGAUUUUUUCCCAUAGGAAUGCAUGGGUUAGGGUUAGGGUUAGGGUUAGGGUUGGAGCUAGGGUUAGGGUUGGAGUUAGGGUUAGUGUUGGAGCUAGGGUUAGGGUUGGGCUUGGAGCUAGGAUUUUUCUGAGUGCAAUGAACCAACUCCCGAGUCUCUAGGACGUUCCUAAAAAAAUUUGAUUUUUUCCCAUAGGAAUGCAUGGGUUAGGGUUAGGGUUAGGGUUGGAGCUAGGGUUAGGGUUAGGGUUAGGGUUGGAGUUAGGGUUAGUGUUGGAGCUAGGGUUAGGGUUGGGCUUGGAGCUAGGAUUUUUCUGAGUGCAAUGAACCAACUCCCGAGUCUCUAGGACGUUCCUAAAAAAAUUUGAUUUUUUCCCAUAGGAAUGCAUGGGUUAGGGUUAGGGUUAGGGUUGGAGCUAGGGUUAGGGUUAGGGUUAGGGUUGGAGUUAGGGUUAGUGUUGGAGCUAGGGUUAGGGUUGGGCUUGGAGCUAGGAUUUUUCUGAGUGCACUGAACCAACUCCCGAGUCUCUAGGACGUUCCUAAAAAAAUUUGAUUUUUUCCCAUAGUAAUGCAUGGGUUAGGGUUAGGGUUAGGGUUGGAGCUAGGGUUAGGGUUAGGGUUAGGGUUGGAGUUAGGGUUAGUGUUGGAGCUAGGGUUAGGGUUGGGCUUGGAGCUAGGAUUUUUCUGAGUGCAAUGAACCAACUCCCGAGUCUCUAGGACGUUCCUAAAAAAUUUUUAUUUUUUCCCAUAGGAAUGCAUGGGUUAGGGUUAGGGUUAGGGUUGGAGCUAGGGUUAGGGUUAGGGUUAGGGUUGGAGUUAGGGUUAGUGUUGGAGCUAGGGUUAGGGUUGGGCUUGGAGCUAGGAUUUUUCUGAGUGCAAUGAACCAACUCCCGAGUCUCUAGGACGUUCCUAAAAAAAUUUGAUUUUUUCCCAUAGGAAUGCAUGGGUUAGGGUUAGGGUUAGGGUUGGAGCUAGGGUUAGGGUUAGGGUUAGGGUUGGAGUUAGGGUUAGUGUUGGAGCUAGGGUUAGGGUUGGGCUUGGAGCUAGGAUUUUUCUGAGUGCAAUGAACCAACUCCCGAGUCUCUAGGACGUUCCUAAAAAAAUUUGAUUUUUUCCCAUAGGAAUGCAUGGGUUAGGGUUAGGGUUAGGGUUGGAGCUAGGGUUAGGGUUAGGGUUAGGGUUGGAGUUAGGGUUAGUGUUGGAGCUAGGGUUAGGGUUGGGCUUGGAGCUAGGAUUUUUCUGAGUGCAAUGAACCAACUCCCGAGUCUCUAGGACGUUCCUAAAAAAAUUUGAUUUUUUCCCAUAGGAAUGCAUGGGUUAGGGUUAGGGUUAGGGUUGGAGCUAGGGUUAGGGUUAGGGUUAGGGUUGGAGUUAGGGUUAGUGUUGGAGCUAGGGUUAGGGUUGGGCUUGGAGCUAGGAUUUUUCUGAGUGCAAUGAACCAACUCCCGAGUCUCUAGGACGUUCCUAAAAAAAUUUGAUUUUUUCCCAUAGGAAUGCAUGGGUUAGGGUUAGGGUUAGGGUUGGAGCUAGGGUUAGGGUUAGGGUUAGGGUUGGAGUUAGGGUUAGUGUUGGAGCUAGGGUUAGGGUUGGGCUUGGAGCUAGGAUUUUUCUGAGUGCAAUGAACCAACUCCCGAGUCUCUAGGACGUUCCUAAAAAAAUUUGAUUUUUUCCCAUAGGAAUGCAUGGGUUAGGGUUAGGGUUAGGGUUGGAGUUUAGGGUUAGGGUUAGGGUUGGAGUUAGGGUUAGUGUUGGAGCUAGGGUUAGGGUUGGGCUUGGAGCUAGGAUUUUUCUGAGUGCAAUGAACCAACUCCCGAGUCUCUAGGACGUUCCUAAAAAAAUUUGAUUUUUUCCCAUAGGAAUGCAUGGGUUAGGGUUAGGGUUAGGGUUGGAGCUAGGGUUAGGGUUAGGGUUAGGGUUGGAGUUAGGGUUAGUGUUGGAGCUAGGGUUAGGGUUGGGCUUGGAGCUAGGAUUUUUCUGAGUGCACUGAACCAACUCCCGAGUCUCUAGGACGUUCCUAAAAAAAUUUGAUUUUUUCCCAUAGGAAUGCAUGGGUUAGGGUUAGGGUCAGGGUAGGGUUGGAGCUAGGGUUAGGGUUAGGGUUAGGGUUGGAGUUAGGGUUAGUGUUGGAGCUAGGGUUAGGGUUGGGCUUGGAGCUAGGAUUUUUCUGAGUGCAAUGAACCAACUCCCGAGUCUCUAGGACGUUCCUAAAAAAAUUUGAUUUUUUCCCAUAGGAAUGCAUGGGUUAGGGUUAGGGUUAGGGUUGGAGCUAGGGUUAGGGUUAGGGUUAGGGUUGGAGUUAGGGUUAGUGUUGGAGCUAGGGUUAGGGUUGGGCUUGGAGCUAGGAUUUUUCUGAGUGCAAUGAACCAACUCCCGAGUCUCUAGGACAUUCCUAAAAAAUUUGAUUUUUUCCCAUAGGAAUGCAUGGGUUAGGGUUAGGGUUAGGGUUGGAGCUAGGGUUAGGGUUAGGGUUAGGGUUGGAAUUAGGGUUAGUGUUGGAGCUAGGGUUAGGGUUGGGCUUGGAGCUAGGAUUUUUCGGAGUGCAAUGAACCAACUCCCGAGUCUCUAGGACGUUCCUAAAAAAAUUUGAUUUUUUCCCAUAGUAAUGCAUGGGUUAGGGUUAGGGUUAGGGUUGGAGCUAGGGUUAGGGUUAGGGUUAGGGUUGGAGUUAGGGUUAGUGUUGGAGCUAGGGUUAGGGUUGGGCUUGGAGCUAGGAUUUUUCUGAGUGCAAUGAACCAACUCCCGAGUCUCUAGGACGUUCCUAAAAAAAUUUGAUUUUUCCCAUAGGAAUGCAUGGGUUAGGGUUAGGGUUAGGGUUGGAGCUAGGGUUAGGGUUAGGGUUAGGGUUGGAGUUAGGGUUAGUGUUGGAGCUAGGGUUAGGGUUGGGCUUGGAGCUAGGAUUUUUCUGAGUGCAAUGAACCAACUCCCGAGUCUCUAGGACGUUCCUAAAAAAAUUUGAUUUUUUCCCAUAGGAAUGCAUGGGUUAGGGUUAGGGUUAGGGUUGGAGCUAGGGUUAGGGUUAGGGUUAGGGUUGGAGUUAGGGUUAGUGUUGGAGCUAGGGUUAGGGUUGGGCUUGGAGCUAGGAUUUUUCUGAGUGCAAUGAACCAACUCCCGAGUCUCUAGGACGUUCCUAAAAAAAUUUGAUUUUUUCCCAUAGGAAUGCAUGGGUUAGGGUUAGGGUUGGAGGGGUUAGGGUUAGUUAGGGUUAGUGUUGGAGCUAGGGUUAGGGUUGGGCUUGGAGCUAGGAUUUUUCUGAGUGCAAUGAACCAACUCCCGAGUCUCUAGGACGUUCCUAAAAAAAUUUGAUUUUUUCCCAUAGGAAUGCAUGGGUUAGGGUUAGGGUUAGGGUUAGGGUUGGAGCUAGGGUUAGGGUUAGGGUUAGGGUUGGAGUUAGGGUUAGUGUUGGAGCUAGGGUUAGGGUUGGGCUUGGAGCUAGGAUUUUUCUGAGUGCAAUGAACCAACUCCCGAGUCUCUAGGACGUUCCUAAAAAAAUUUGAUUUUUUCCCAUAGGAAUGCAUGGGUUAGGGUUAGGGUUAGGGUUGGAGCUAGGGUUAGGGUUAGGGUUAGGGUUGGAGUUAGGGUUAGUGUUGGAGCUAGGGUUAGGGUUGGGCUUGGAGCUAGGAUUUUUCUGAGUGCAAUGAACCAACUCCCGAGUCUCUAGGACGUUCCUAAAAAAAUUAGAUUUUUUCCCAUAGGAAUGCAUGGGUUAGGGUUUAGGGUUAGGGUUGGAGCUAGGGUUAGGGUUAGGGUUAGGGUUGGAGUUAGGGUUAGUGUUGGAGCUAGGGUUAGGGUUGGGCUUGGAGCUAGGAUUUUUCUGAGUGCACUGAACCAACUCCCGAGUCUCUAGGACGUUCCUAAAAAAAUUUGAUUUUUUCCCAUAGGAAUGCAUGGGUUAGGGUUAGGGUUAGGGUUAGGGUUAGGGUUGGAGUUAGGGUUAGUGUUGGAGCUAGGGUUAGGGUUGGGCUUGGAGCUAGGAUUUUUCUGAGUGCAAUGAACCAACUCCCGAGUCUCUAGGACGUUCCUAAAAAAAUUUGAUUUUUUCCCAUAGGAAUGCAUGGGUUAGGGUUAGGGUUAGGGUUGGAGCUAGGGUUAGGGUUAGGGUUAGGGUUAGGGUUGGAGUUAGGGUUAGUGUUGGAGCUAGGGUUAGGGUUGGGCUUGGAGCUAGGAUUUUUCUGAGUGCAAUGAACCAACUCCCGAGUCUCUAGGACGUUCCUAAAAAAAUUUGAUUUUUUCCCAUAGGAAUGCAUGGGUUAGGGUUAGGGUUAGGGUUGGAGCUAGGGUUAGGGUUAGGGUUAGGGUUGGAGUUAGGGUUAGUGUUGGAGCUAGGGUUAGGGUUGGGCUUGGAGCUAGGAUUUUUCUGAGUGCACUGAACCAACUCCCGAGUCUCUAGGACGUUCCUAAAAAAAUUUGAUUUUUUCCCAUAGGAAUGCAUGGGUUAGGGUUAGGGUUAGGGUUGGAGCUAGGGUUAGGGUUAGGGUUAGGGUUGGAGUUAGGGUUAGUGUUGGAGCUAGGGUUAGGGUUGGGCUUGGAGCUAGGAUUUUUCUGAGUGCACUGAACCAACUCCCGAGUCUCUAGGACGUUCCUAAAAAAAUUUGAUUUUUUCCCAUAGGAAUGCAUGGGUUAGGGUUAGGGUUAGGGUUAGGGUUGGAGCUAGGGUUAGGGUUAGGGUUAGGGUUGGAGUUAGGGUUAGUGUUGGAGCUAGGGUUAGGGUUGGGCUUGGAGCUAGGAUUUUUCUGAGUGCAAUGAACCAACUCCCGAGUCUCUAGGACGUUCCUAAAAAAAUUUGAUUUUUUCCCAUAGGAAUGCAUGGGUUAGGGUUAGGGUUAGGGUUAGGGUUGGAGCUAGGGUUAGGGUUAGGGUUAGGGUUGGAGUUAGGGUUAGUGUUGGAGCUAGGGUUAGGGUUGGGGUUAGGGUUGGAGUUAGGGUUAGUGUUGGAGCUAGGGUUAGGGUUGGGCUUGGAGCUAGGAUUUUUCUGAGUGCAAUGAACCAACUCCCGAGUCUCUAGGACGUUCCUAAAAAAAUUUGAUUUUUUCCCAUAGGAAUGCAUGGGUUAGGGUUAGGGUUAGGGUUAGGGUUGGAGCUAGGGUUAGGGUUAGGGUUAGGGUUGGAGUUAGGGUUAGUGUUGGAGCUAGGGUUAGGGUUGGGCUUGGAGCUAGGAUUUUUCUGAGUGCAAUGAACCAACUCCCGAGUCUCUAGGACGUUCCUAAAAAAAUUUGAUUUUUUCCCAUAGGAAUGCAUGGGUUAGGGUUAGGGUUAGGGUUGGAGCUAGGGUUAGGGUUAGGGUUAGGGUUGGAGUUAGGGUUAGUGUUGGAGCUAGGGUUAGGGUUGGGCUUGGAGCUAGGAUUUUUCUGAGUGCAAUGAACCAACUCCCGAGUCUCUAGGACGUUCCUAAAAAAAUUUGAUUUUUUCCCAUAGGAAUGCAUGGGUUAGGGUUAGGGUUGGAGUUAGGGUUAGUGUUGGAGCUAGGGUUAGGGUUGGGCUUGGAGCUAGGAUUUUUCUGAGUGCAAUGAACCAACUCCCGAGUCUCUAGGACGUUCCCAAAAAAAAAUUUGAUUUUUUCCCAUAGGAAUGCAUGGGUUAGGGUUAGGGUUAGGGUUAGGGUUGGAGCUAGGGUUAGGGUUAGGGUUAGGGUUGGAGUUAGGGUUAGUGUUGGAGCUAGGGUUAGGGUUGGGCUUGGAGCUAGGAUUUUUCUGAGUGCAAUGAACCAACUCCCGAGUCUCUAGGACGUUCCUAAAAAAAUUUGAUUUUUUCCCAUAGGAAUGCAUGGGUUAGGGUUAGGGUUAGGGUUAGGGUUGGAGCUAGGGUUAGGGUUAGGGUUAGGGUUGGAGUUAGGGUUAGUGUUGGAGCUAGGGUUAGGGUUGGGCUUGGAGCUAGGAUUUUCUGAGUGCACUGAACCAACUCCCGAGUCUCUAGGACGUUCCUAAAAA